rnacentral:rRNA from 1 species
GUGUCAGCCGCCGCGGUAAGACGUAGGGGGCCAGCGUUGCUCGGAAUUACUGGGCGUAAAGGGUUCGUAGGCGGUGCGGUAAGUCGGAAGUGAAAUCUCUGGGCUUAACUCAGAGGCUGCUUUCGAAACUGCCGUGCUGGAGUGCGGGAGAGGCGAGUGGAAUUGCAGGUGUAGCGGUGAAAUGCGUAGAUAUCUGCAGGAACACCCGUGGCGAAGGCGGCUCGCUGGACCGCAACUGACGCUGAGGAACGAAAGCUAGGGGAGCAAACAGGAUUAGAUACCCUGGUAGUCCUAGCCCUAAACCAUCAGGACUUGGGGUGGCCCGCGUUGGCGGGUCGUCCCGGAGCUAACGCGUUAAGUCCUGCGCCUGGGGAGUACGGUCGCAAGGCUGAA